CUGGGGCAUAAUCAGGCUGCCCAGCUUGUUGGCUUGGACAUGGCUCCUCUCCACUUAGGAGGCUCUGCCCACUCACAUUCCAGGCCUCAGCUUGCCAUGUUUUCCUGUUAAGCCCAGAACCCUUCCCCUGGGUCCCUUCCUCAGAGGGGACAUGUUGGGAGCCACAGUCUCAGAGAUACUUGGGAUUUUAAACAUGAUGCAACUCUAGGGCUGACUUUGGAAUUCUGUGGGCUGUGCUUGGCCCAGAUCCCACCUUUGGGCCACUUUUGCUGCUGCUAUUAUUUUUAGUUGGUGGGGCAAUCAUUGUGUGCCUUUGUACAGUUUUCAUUUGGGAAGCCUUAGAGCUCUUUAACUCCACUCCAUUCUAUCACAUCCUUGUUUAGCAAUGAUCAUCCUUUUGCAUUACAAACUAGAAAAGCAACUCCGUAAGACUAACAAACUCUCUUCAACCAAGUAAAGGAGACUCCUUGUGGAGGGGAGCCCCUGCCCGCUCACCUGGAUGACCAUGCCUCACCUCUGCCGAUCACAUGCAAAUAUUUGUCCUGUUCUGAGACAUCCUCCUGGGUCCCAGCUUCUUCUCUUGAAGAUUCAACACUCCAUCUUUACAGUACAGAUUUCCAGUGCACCAUCAGAAGCCGAAGUAACUGUGAGUGGGAGGCAUUGGAGCCGGCUGGGAGGUAAGCAUUCGGGCCAGCAGGGAGGAGGAGUCGCCCAUGUAGCAGUGCUGGAUGACAACAUUCCCACACUGCCCUCGGACACAUCACAGACCCUGGUACCACAGGAUCCCUCUGAUUCAACUGAAGAGAGAUGCAGAGCUGCAUGCCACCAAGUAACUAAUUCGUUCUUCUCUUCUUAUAUCCAUUGAGCAGUGUGCAGUGUUGGCACAAUGCACAGUACUUGUUAACCACUCCAGGAAAAGAAAGAGCCACUCAUUCUGAUUAGCUGUCAGAACUAAUUUUAAGCUAUGUUAUUAUAUGGUAAAGAGGAAAAAGGAAAUACAAGGAAACUGUACUUAAAGCCAGUGCCUAAUCAGGUUUUUUCCCCUUCGUCUGUUUCAUACAAAAGCUCCCUGGAAUCACUGGUGUGAACCAUUUCAUUCCCCUCUUCCGGUGUUAAUUACAUGUGAUAUUCUAAAAUAUACACUCCUCUCUCCAAGUAGACCAAACCGAGCCCUUUGUAAAUUGCUCAUUGCCCAUUCGUUUUCCCCAGCAGCUCCACCUCAUUUCCUUGUACCUCCUGUUUCGCCGUGGGGCCACAACUCCAGCAGCACUAAGUAUAGAGUAAUUAUUUCUGCCAGAAACAUUCCCCCUAAAAAGGGCUGGGCUGAGUUUGGUGUAUGUAUGUGUGUACUUGAAAGAAAGGCAUAUAAUAAUAUCAGGCCUCUUUGUUUUCCCUCUUUUAAUACCCACCGGUUCUCCAAGAUGUCAUUGGCAAACACAACAGCAUUUGCUUUUGUUCCCUUUACAAAUAUUUUCCUCUCAAGGCCUAUUUCUUUCUUAAAACUGCUGCGUGUCUCACUAUGGAAAGCAAUAGUUCUCAAUUAGUAGACUGAAUGAACUCUGCCUGUGUGGUUUUGAUUUAGGAAAUAUUUACUAAGCUUUUGGUCUAAAACUCCCCAAAAUCUGGAGCAGCUGAUAGUCUCUUGG
rnacentral:lncRNA from 1 species